AUCUUUAAAAUUAAAAAAUUUGGCGGUAUUUUAGUCUGUUCAGAGGAACCUGUUUUUUGAUCGAUAGUCCACGAUAAUUGUUACUUUAACUUUGAAUUUACAUAUCGUCGUUAUUAAAAAUUUUAGGAUAUAAUUUUUUCAGAUCAAGGUGUAGUUUAUGUUAAAGUUAAAAUGGGUUACAUUAAAAAGUUUAAUUAAAAUGGAUUUGACAGUAAGCUCUAAAAUAUGCACAUAUCGCCCGUCGCUUUCACUUUAAAGUGAAAUAAGUCGUAACAAAGUAGGCUUAUUGGAAAAUGUGCCUGGAAUGCAAAUUAGAGCUUGGUAAGCAUUUUAUUUACAUUAAAAGGUUAAUUGUGAGAUUCAAUUUAAUUUGAACUUUAAAUGUUAUUUUUUGUUAUUUUUUUUUUUUUUUAAUAGAAGUAUGUUUUUUUUUAUUAUUAGCUUGAAAAAAUUUUAUUAUAGUUGAUUGUAUUGUGAGAGAUGCUUUUUAAUUUUUAAAAGAAAACUUUUUUUGUUGUACCUUGUGUCUCAGGGUCUAUUAAUUUGAGUUUCCCGAAUUCAAAAGAGCUAGUUUUAUUGUGAAAUAAACAUUUUUAAUAUUGUUCUUGAAAUGAAACGUUAUUCGUUUUUGAAUAUAUCUGGUUUUUAAAGAAAUAAAUUAAAUUUAGCAGCCAUUAGCAAAAUUAUGAAGGGAUAAGCUUUUGAAUUUAUUUUUAUAAAUUGUUUUUUAUUUAAAAUAAAUAGGAUUAGAAUUUUCCAGUUUUCAGAGGAUGUUAUAGUUAAUUUUUUAGGUUUUUUAUUUAAAUUUUGAUUUUAAUUUUUUUGUCAGGUAAUUUUGAUAGAAUUAGUAAGGUUAAGUUAAGGAACUCGGCAAAUUAAAUUUUCACCUGUUUAUUAAAAACAUGUCCUUUUGUUUAUUAUUUAAGGUCGGGCCUGCCCAAUGAUUAAAUGGCCGCAGUAUUUUGACUGUGCAAAGGUAGCAUAAUCAUUAGUUUCUUAAUUAGGAGCUGGAAUGAAUGGUUUAAUGAAAAAUUUACUGUCUCUUGAAUUUUAUUUUUGAGUGAAAAAGCUUAAAUGUUUUAUAAAGACGAGAAGACCCUAUAGAGUUUUUUGAUUGGGGUGACAUUAAAAUUUAAUUAACUUUUAAUA
rnacentral:rRNA from 1 species